UUUUGUGGGCUGGCCUGUCAUAUAUCCGUUGGACUAUGAUGUGCAAGCUAACUACCUUGUGCAAGAUAGAUAGGAGCGCCCAACUGGAGUACCCAACGAUCCCCCGACUCUUCUCGUUUCUUCCCCAAAAGGUGAGAGCAGGCGGAAGGAAGGUGACUAGCAUCCGGCACCGAUUUCUACCAUUCCCCUUCCAAUCCGACGGGCGGAUCGGCGCUAGAAAGGAUGGGGAACGGGAAUUGAGGUGGUCGUUGUACAUACUCUUACCUAGUUUGACUAGUUUAGAUCUAGGCAGUGUUUCUAGGGUGGAGGUGACAUUGCGACGACAGAAUAAUCUUCUUCAACUCCUUCGUCUUGCUGGUUCCACUACCAGUGAAGAGAUGAAGAGGUGUGUCCCUGCUGGAUUUGGAGAUCUCGAUGCUUCAGAUCUAGUUUGGUUGUAUUCUGCUCCCUCCUUGUCUCCGUCGGAGUUGCUGCCGGCGAUGGCUUUGGGAGAGAUCCUGGAGGCAACUUGGGCGCUAGAUUCCUUGUACUCCGGCGAUGUGGUGGCUUGUGGCCAUCUGAUUCGGCUUGGGCAUUCAUCGGUUACAAGGCGUGUCGAUGUUUUCGAUAUGUUGUACGAAGUGCCAACAAAAAAUUAUGGUCCAUCAUCGGGAAGGAGGUUGGCUUCAAGCUCCAGAUUCGACAUAUUUCUUCUUCAACCUUUGGUUUGACAGGGAUGCGUCGUGCGGCUGCUCCGACCAUCGGUGACGGGGACGACUGGGAGGAUGAUCUUGCACGAACUACGAUGUAAUUUUUACUUUCUUUAAGGGUGUCUUCGUAAGAUUUGGAGUGUAAACUUCAUGAAAUAUCUAUGAAUAUAAGCUCGGUUUCUCAAAAAAAAAA